UACGGAGGGUGCAAGCGUUGUUCGGAAUUACUGGGCGUAAAGCGCACGUAGGCGGAUUUGUAAGUCAGGGGGUGAAAUCCCGGGGCUCAACCUCGGAACUGCCUUUGAUACUGCAAAUCUCGAGUCCGAUAGAGGUGGGUGGAAUUCCUAGUGUAGAGGUGAAAUUCGUAGAUAUUAGGAAGAACACCGGUGGCGAAGGCGGCCCACUGGAUCGGUACUGACGCUGAGGUGCGAAAGCGUGGGGAGCAAACAGG
rnacentral:rRNA from 1 species